AGCACCUUAGCGCGAUGGAAGCGCGCCGUAUUCUCGAUGGAGAGAUUCGGAGGUACCCUGAUCGAUACGGGGAGGUGCUA